rnacentral:rRNA from 1 species
CAGUCGCCGCGGUAAUACGUAGGUGGCGAGCGUUGUCCGGAAUUAUUGGGCGUAAAGGGAGCGCAGGCGGGCGAGUAAGUCUUUCUUAAAAGUGCGGGGCUCAACCCCGUGAGGGGAGAGAAACUACUCAUCUUGAGUGCAGGAGAGGAAAGCGGAAUUCCUAGUGUAGCGGUGAAAUGCGUAGAUAUUAGGAAGAACACCAGUGGCGAAGGCGGCUUUCUGGACUGUAACUGACGCUGAGGCUCGAAAGCGUGGGGAGCGAACAGGAUUAGAUACCCCUGUAGUCCCUGUCUCUUAUACA